GCCUGUUUAGCUCAGUUGGUUAGAGCAUCUGACUGUUAAUCAGGGGGUCGUAGGUUCGAGUCCUACAACAGGCG
rnacentral:tRNA from 1 species